rfam:Picea glauca, whole genome shotgun sequence.
CUAACCUAGACCUUGAAUCUACACCCCAUAACCUUCUAAAUCAUCGACCCAUAGCCCAUAACCCUUAUAAAGACGCAAUGUGAUUUAUUCCCAUUGCUCUGCAUGUCAAAGUGAAGAAAUUCAACCAAACACGGGUAAACGAUGGGAGUAACUAUGACUAUAUUAAGGUAGCCAGAUGCAUCGUCAUCUAAUUAGUGACACACAUGAAUGUAUCAUUAAUGAUAUUCCCCACUGUCCCUAGCUACUAUAUUCUAGAGUAAACACAUCCAAGGGAAUGGGCUUGGCAUAAUUAGCGGGAAAAUAAGACCCUCAAGUUGAGCUUGACUCUAGUCCUAACCCAUUCAUAGUUUGGGAAAAUUAGGGCAUAGU